AUGAACGCUAGCUACAGGCUUAACACAUGCAAGUCGAGGGGCAGCAUGGUCUUAGCUUGCUAAGGCCGAUGGCGACCGGCGCACGGGUGAGUAACACGUAUCCAACCUGCCGUCUACUCUUGGACAGCCUUCUGAAAGGAAGAUUAAUACAAGAUGGCAUCAUGAGUCCGCAUGUUCACAUGAUUAAAGGUAUUCCGGUAGACGAUGGGGAUGCGUUCCAUUAGAUAGUAGGCGGGGUAACGGCCCACCUAGUCUUCGAUGGAUAGGGGUUCUGAGAGGAAGGUCCCCCACAUUGGAACUGAGACACGGUCCAAACUCCUACGGGAGGCAGCAGUGAGGAAUAUUGGUCAAUGGGCGAGAGCCUGAACCAGCCAAGUAGCGUGAAGGAUGACUGCCCUAUGGGUUGUAAACUUCUUUUAUAAAGGAAUAAAGUCGGGUAUGCAUACCCGUUUGCAUGUACUUUAUGAAUAAGGAUCGGCUAACUCCGUGCCAGCAGCCGCGGUAAUACGGAGGAUCCGAGCGUUAUCCGGAUUUAUUGGGUUUAAAGGGAGCGUAGAUGGAUGUUUAAGUCAGUUGUGAAAGUUUGCGGCUCAACCGUAAAAUUGCAGUUGAUACUGGAUAUCUUGAGUGCAGUUGAGGCAGGCGGAAUUCGUGGUGUAGCGGUGAAAUGCUUAGAUAUCACGAAGAACUCCGAUUGCGAAGGCAGCCUGCUAAGCUGCAACUGACAUUGAGGCUCGAAAGUGUGGGUAUCAAACAGGAUUAGAUACCCUGGUAGUCCACACGGUAAACGAUGAAUACUCGCUGUUUGCGAUAUACAGCAAGCGGCCAAGCGAAAGCGUUAAGUAUUCCACCUGGGGAGUACGCCGGCAACGGUGAAACUCAAAGGAAUUGACGGGGGCCCGCACAAGCGGAGGAACAUGUGGUUUAAUUCGAUGAUACGCGAGGAACCUUACCCGGGCUUAAAUUGCAGCGGAAUGUAGUGGAAACAUUACAGCCAUCGGGCCGCUGUGAAGGUGCUGCAUGGUUGUCGUCAGCUCGUGCCGUGAGGUGUCGGCUUAAGUGCCAUAACGAGCGCAACCCUUGUUGUCAGUUACUAACAGGUCAUGCUGAGGACUCUGACAAGACUGCCAUCGUAAGAUGUGAGGAAGGUGGGGAUGACGUCAAAUCAGCACGGCCCUUACGUCCGGGGCUACACACGUGUUACAAUGGGGGGUACAGAGGGCCGCUACCACGCGAGUGGAUGCCAAUCCCAAAAACCUCUCUCAGUUCGGACUGGAGUCUGCAACCCGACUCCACGAAGCUGGAUUCGCUAGUAAUCGCGCAUCAGCCACGGCGCGGUGAAUACGUUCCCGGGCCUUGUACACACCGCCCGUCAAGCCAUGGGAGCCGGGGGUACCUGAAGUGCGUAACCGCGAGGAGCGCCCUAGGGUAAAACUGGUGACUGGGGCU
rnacentral:rRNA from 1 species